ACGGAGGAUCCGAGCGUUAUCCGGAUUUAUUGGGUUUAAAGGGAGCGUAGGCGGAAGCUUAAGUCAGCCUGUGAAAGUUUGCGGCUCAACCGUAAAAUUGCAGUUGAUACUGGGUUUCUUGAGUGCAUUAGAGGUAUGCGGAAUUCGUGGUGUAGCGGUGAAAUGCUUAGAUAUCACGAAGAACUCCAAUUGCGAAGGCAGCAUACUAGACUGUAACUGACGCUGAUGCUCGAAAGUGUGGGUAUCAAACAG
rnacentral:rRNA from 1 species